AGCACUUGUGUGUUUUUGUUGAACUGGUAGCCACAGACAUAAAGCAGGUUUGAAAACAAUCUGUCGUUUGCAAUCCAGAGCUCGUGCUUCACUAUGAGUUUUCAUAUAUUUAAGAAAGAAUAUG